AGGGGUAUAGUUUAACCGGAAGAACAGCGGUCCCCAAAACCGCCCGUGGGUGUUCGAGUCGCCCUAUCCCUG
rnacentral:tRNA from 1 species